AUGGUGGCGGGUCCACCGACGACGGCACGACUAGGAGCAGCAGCGGCGGCCCGGGCCAUUGUCUGCCAAGGGAAGGAAACUACCAAUCAACCUUCCAGGGGUUUCCCGACACCAAACUUUGAUGUAGGAAAACAUGAUGAAUGGGCAGACACAAGUCUUAAUGGAUCCCAGGAAUCAAAACCAGAGAGGGAUUUUGUUUUGAAGCCCCAUGACAAUAAUUUUGUACUGGAAUCUGAGCACAAUCCUGGAGAUCUUCUGUUUGAAAUAAGUUUUGGUAUAGAAAACAAAGGAUGGAGCUCUCCCACUGGAAGUGAGUUGGAAAAAGCUCUCAUAGACUCUAUUAAGAGUCAGGUGCAAGAGAAAGUGAAACUCCUCUCAAUCAAAGUCAAGGAAGUCAAGUUAAAGGAAAUUAUAAGGAACGAAGAAACUGAAACUGAUAGACAAAAUGGUCCAAACCUGAUAUUCAUGUUCUGGCUCCAUCUAACACCAGAAGAAAAGAAUAUAUCUCACUUAUUGCAUUUGCAACUGGAAGACCUUGGUGGAGCAUCUGUGGAACUUGGCAAGGUUCAGACAGUUGUGGUGAGAGAUGUGAAUGAAUGCAGCUCUGGGAUUGGGCUAUGUGGUGACAAGGCAAUCUGUCACAAUGGAUAUGGUACAUAUAUAUGUCAAUGUAAAGAAGGUUAUGAGGAUCGUUCUCCAAAAAAUUCAGGAACCCUGUGCUUUCAUAAUCCACAGACAGGCAUUAGCUCCUUGUUCCGCUAUACCGAGAUUCUUGUAGGUACCACUGUUUUUUUCAUCUGUGCUCUUGUAGUGGUGAUCAGUGUGCUGUGCAGCAUAGUAAAAAAUAAAUUUACUAAGAAGGACUUGCACUUUCAAGAGGCUGCUUUGCCUGGGACAUCGACAUCAUUUGAUCAGAAUAACAUCCACCCUCUCCUUAGUCUAGACCCUGGCCUGUUAAAACUCAGAGCCAAGUCGCCAGAACGGCCUUUACAACAGAGAACUAGCCCCAGUGAAACGUACAGAGUAUCUAUUGAGCAGUCUGAAUGUUUAUAAAGAAAAUGCAAUACAAGUUGCACCCCCCCUUCCCCAAUUCAUAAUCUCCUUUCAUUUCUUGUUAGUGAGUAGAUGCUACUUUCUGUUUCUUAGCAGUUCUUACAGAAUUCUUUUUAUCACCCCUUGUCCUGUGCCCAUUUUCCCCAAUAUCUUAAUUAAAAUGUAACUCUUAUAGUAUUUUUUUUCUUCAAUUUAUGAGCAACUGUAUUUUCUGCCAGCUUUAUAUAUAAACAGCAAUGAAUAUGACUUCUGUUCAUGACUGUUAAUAAACCUGAUAUCCUGCUCUUUGUGUAAUUGUGUAUCUUGGUUAAUAGUCAAAAUAAAUGCAUGGGGC
rnacentral:lncRNA from 1 species